CACUCCUGCGGGAGGCAGCAGUGGGGAAUUUUGGACAAUGGGCGAAAGCCUGAUCCAGCCAUGCCGCGUGCAGGAUGAAGGCCUUCGGGUUGUAAACUGCUUUUGUACGGAACGAAACGGCCUUUUCUAAUAAAGAGGGCUAAUGACGGUACCGUAAGAAUAAGCACCGGCUAACUACGUGCCAGCAGCCGCGGUAAUACGUAGGGUGCAAGCGUUAAUCGGAAUUACUGGGCGUAAAGCGUGCGCAGGCGGUUAUGUAAGACAGUUGUGAAAUCCCCGGGCUCAACCUGGGAACUGCAUCUGUGACUGCAUAGCUAGAGUACGGUAGAGGGGGAUGGAAUUCCGCGUGUAGCAGUGAAAUGCGUAGAUAUGCGGAGGAACACCGAUGGCGAAGGCAAUCCCCUGGACCUGUACUGACGCUCAUGCACGAAAGCGUGGGGAGCAAACAGGAUUAGAAACCCUUGUAGUCC
rnacentral:rRNA from 1 species